rnacentral:rRNA from 1 species
UACAGAGGAUGCGAGCGUUAAUCGGAAUGACUGGGCGUAAAGCGCACGUAGGUGGCGACGUAAGUCGGGUGUGAAAGCCCCGGGCUCAACCUGGGAAUUGCAUUCGAGACUGCAUUGCUGGAGUACGGAAGAGGAAGGCGGAAUUCCCGGUGUAGCGGUGAAAUGCGUAGAUAUCGGGAGGAACAUCAGUGGCGAAGGCGGCCUUCUGGUCCAGUACUGACACUCAAGUGCGAAAGCGUGGGGAGCAAACAGG